rnacentral:rRNA from 2 species
GCUAUACAUGCAGUCGAACGCGUUGGCCCAAUUGAUUGAUGGUGCUUGCACCUGAUUGAUUUUGGUCGCCAACGAGUGGCGGACGGGUGAGUAACACGUAGGUAACCUGCCCAGAAGCGGGGGACAACAUUUGGAAACAGAUGCUAAUACCGCAUAACAACGUUGUUCGCAUGAACAACGCUUAAAAGAUGGCUUCUCGCUAUCACUUCUGGAUGGACCUGCGGUGCAUUAGCUUGUUGGUGGGGUAAUGGCCUACCAAGGCGAUGAUGCAUAGCCGAGUUGAGAGACUGAUCGGCCACAAUGGGACUGAGACACGGCCCAUACUCCUACGGGAGGCAGCAGUAGGGAAUCUUCCACAAUGGGCGCAAGCCUGAUGGAGCAACACCGCGUGAGUGAAGAAGGGUUUCGGCUCGUAAGCUCUGUUGUUAAAGAAGAACACGUAUGAGAGUAACUGUUCAUACGUUGACGGUAUUUAACCAGAAAGUCACGGCUAACUACGUGCCAGCAGCCGCGGUAAUACGUAU